rnacentral:rRNA from 1 species
AUUGAACGCUGGCGGCAGGCUUAACACAUGCAAGUCGAGCGGAGAUGAGGUGCUUGCACCUUAUCUUAGCGGCGGACGGGUGCGUAAUGCUUAGGAAUCUGCCUAUUAGUGGGGGACAACAUUCCGAAAGGAAUGCUAAUACCGAAUACGUCCUGCGGGAGAAAGCAGGGGACCUUCGGACCGUGCGCUAAUAGAUGAGCCUAAGUCGGGGUAGUUAGUUGGUGGGGUAAAGGCCGACCAAGGGGACGAUCUGGAGCGGGUCUGGGAGGAUGAUCCGCCACACUGGGACUGAGACACGGCCCAGACUCCUACGGGAGGCAGCAGUGGGGAAUAUUGGACAAUGGGGGGAACCCUGAUCCAGCCAUGCCGCGUGUGUGAAGAAGGCCUUAUGGUUGUAAAGCACUUUAAGCGAGGAGGAGGCUACUGAGACUAAUACUCUUGGAUAGUGGACGUUACUCGCAGAAUAAGCACCGGCUAACUCUGUGCCAGCAGCCGCCGUAAGAC